GAUGAACGCUGGCGGCGUGCCUAAUACAUGCAAGUCGAGCGAACAGACGAGGAGCUUGCUCCUUUGACGUUAGCGGCGGACGGGUGAGUAACACGUGGGUAACCUACCUAUAAGACUGGGAUAACUUCGGGAAACCGGAGCUAAUACCGGAUAAUAUUUCGAACCGCAUGGUUCGAUAGUGAAAGAUGGCUUUGCUAUCACUUAUAGAUGGACCUGCGCCGUAUUAGCUAGUUGGUAAGGUAACGGCUUACCAAGGCAACGAUACGUAGCCGACCUGAGAGGGUGAUCGGCCACACUGGAACUGAGACACGGUCCAGACUCCUACGGGAGGCAGCAGUAGGGAAUCUUCCGCAAUGGGCGAAAGCCUGACGGAGCAACGCCGCGUGAGUGAUGAAGGUCUUCGGAUCGUAAAACUCUGUUAUUAGGGAAGAAUAAACGUGUAAGUAACUGUGCACGUCUUGACGGUACCUAAUCAGAAAGCCAUGGCUAACUACGUG
rnacentral:rRNA from 1 species